UGGGGUAUAGCUCAGUGGUAGAGUAUUUGCCUAGCAUGCACAAGCCCUGGGUUCAAUCCCCAGCGCCACAA
rnacentral:tRNA from 1 species